rnacentral:rRNA from 1 species
GUUUGAUCCUGGCUCAGAGCGAACGUUAGCGGCAGGCUUAACACAUGCAAGUCGAGCGAGAAAGGGGCUUCGGCUCCGAGUAAAGCGGCGGACGGGUGCGUAACACGUGGAUAAUCUGCCUCGUGGCGGGGGACAACAGUCCGAAAGGACUGCUAAUACCGCAUGUCAGGUCGGAAACUCCGGUUUCUGACGAAAAAAGAGGGCGCCCGCAAGGGGCUCUCACCACGAGAUGAGUCCGCGUCCCAUCAGCUAGUUGGCGGUGUAAUAGACCACCAAGGCUUAGACGGGUAGCUGGUCUGAGAGGAUGACCAGCCACACUGGGACUGAGACACGGCCCAGACUCCUACGGGAGGCAGCAGUGGGGAAUAUUGGACAAUGGGCGAAAGCCUGAUCCAGCCAUGCCGCGUGAGUGAUGAAGGCCUUCGGGUCGUAAAGCUCUGUGGGGAGGG